rnacentral:rRNA from 1 species
UACGAAGGGUGCAAACGUUGCUCGGAAUUAUUGGGCGUAAAGCGCACGUAGGCGGCUUAGCAAGUCGGAUGUGAAAGCCCUCGGCUCAACCAAGGAAGUGCAUCCGAGACUGCUGAGCUUGAGUACUUAAGAGGAUCGCCGGAAUUCCCGGUGUAGAGGUGAAAUUCGUAGAUAUCGGGAGGAACACCAGUGGCGAAGGCGGCGAUCUGGGAAGAUACUGACGCUGAGGUGCGAAAAGCGUGGGGAGCAAACAGG